rnacentral:tRNA from 1 species
GGACGCAUAGCUCAGUUGGUUAGAGCGCGCCGUUCACAUCGGCGAGGUCUCCUGUCCGAAUCAGGAUGCGUCCA